UCAGCGGAGUGCUCACCCAGCGACAAGUGCCUUCCUCCCCAAUCCUCCCCUGGCACACACUAAUACAUUCUCCCCAGACCUACGGAUACUUCCAUCGCUGAUCUAAGUCCAGGACACUUCCCUGACGAGUUUGAAGAUGGUCAGCGGAGGGCGAGAAUGUAUCAGCAUCCACGUGGGACAGGCCGGGGUGCAGAUGGGAAAUGCCUGUUGGGAGCUUUACUGCCUGGAACAUGGCAUCCAGCCAGACGGAAUGAUGCCCUCCGAUGAGACGAUCGGCUACGGUGAUGACUCGUUCAACACAUUCUUCAGUGAGACUAGAAAUGGCAAGCACGUCCCCAGGGCGGUCUUUGUUGAUCUGGAGCCCACUGUUGUUGACGAGAUCAGAACGGGUACCUACCGUAAUCUCUUCUCCCCUAAUUCCUUACACACUGGCAAGGAGGAUGCUGCCAACAACUACGCUCGUGGUCACUACACUGUUGGUAAGGAGCAGCUGAAUGUGGUCCGUGACACCAUCAGGAAGCAGCAGGAGCAGUGUUCGGGUCUUCAAGGUUUCCUCGUCUUCCACUCCUUCGGUGGUGGCACUGGCUCUGGCUUUGGCUCACUGCUCAUGGAACACCUCUCACUCGACUACGGCAAGAAGUCCAAGCUCUGUUUCUCUAUAUACCCAGCGCCCCAGGUGUCGACGGCUGUGGUGGAACCUUACAAUUCCAUUCUCUUCACACACACGACACUGGAACACUGUGAUGUCGAGUUCAUGGUUGAUAACGAAGCUAUCUACGAUCUCUGCCAGAAGGGUCUACACAUCACCAGACCAACUUACACCAACCUCAACCGCAUGAUUGGUCAGGUGGUCUCCAGUAUCACUGCCUCACUGAGGUUUGACGGAGCGCUCAACGUUGACCUGACAGAGUUCCAAACUAACCUGGUGCCCUACCCAAGAAUACACUUCCCUCUGGCCACGUACUCCCCGGUCGUGUCUACGGACAACGCCCAGCACGACAACUUCGACGUUCGUACAAUCACCUCCAAAUGUUUCGAACAGGACCAACAGAUGGUAAAGUGCAAUCCGCUGGAAGGGAAGUACAUGGCUUGCUGUCUCUUGUUCCGAGGAGAUGUGGUUCCCAAGGAUGUUAAUGCCGCCAUUGCAGAACUGCGAACCAAGAGAACCAUCUCCUUCGUAGACUGGUGCCCCACCGGCUUCAAGGUGGGCAUCAACUACCAGCCUCCCACUGUGGUUCCUGGCGGUGACUUAGCUAAGGUGGAGCGAGCAGUGUGUGUCCUCUCCAACACCACUGCCAUCAAGGAAGCCUGGAAACGCCUUGACAGGAAGUUUGACUUGAUGUUCUCUAAAAGAGCUUUCAUUCACUGGUACGUCGGAGAAGGCAUGGAAGAAGGAGAGUUCGCUGAGGCUCGGGAAGACACUGCCGCCUUGGAGAUGGACUACUACGAAGUGGAAGCAAGUUCAACAGAACCGGGGGAGUCUGAGAACGAGGACUACUGAACUCUCCAGUUUUCAUCUCCCCUUCUCUCUCCUUCUCUCUUGGAUCCUCAUAUACCCGACCCACUGGGGAGUUUUCAGAGGCCCGGGAAGAUUUGGCAGCCCUGGAGAUGGACUACGAGGAAGUGGAGGAGAACCCUGGCUCGGAGGAGGAAGAAGAAGGUGAAGGGUACGAGUACUAACCUGAGAGAGAAUUAUCAACACUUGAAACCACUUUCUUCGUACUAAAAAGCGAGUACCAACAGCUGUGACGGGUCAGAGACCGACCUCAGGUUGACAGAUCGAGAAAUCAUACAGUAGUAGACUGCGGGUUAAAACCGGCAGCUCUCAUGCUGGAUGAAUGCUGUUACCCCUCUGCAUUACGAGCACUAAACAACUUGGCAAUCAACAGUUCUAGAGAGAAAGGAUGUUUUAGUAUGGUGUUCCCGCAUGUCACAAGACAGAAGGAAUCAUAGGUGGUAGGUCACAGAAUACUUUAAUUGGAGUAAAGUCCUUUACUGAUAAUCCUGAAUGCCUCAGCUUGUAAUGAAGGUAUGAUUAUGGCAAUCAUUCAUUCCGUCUCAUUCCUCAGGAUGAAGUGACAGCUGCCGUUGUUACUUCAGUAAAGAAUAAGAACAUAAACCCAUAGCUUCCUAAAUAAGAAAAAGGAUAAACGGUUUUUAAGCCUGUUCUGAUACAAUUUAUACAAUACUCAUUAUAAUCUCAGUGUAUUUAUUCAUUACUCUAUUGUUUUUACAUCGGUACAUGAAUGCAGCUAAAUAGGUCACUAAAUUCUGGCAUAAUUGUCCUGUUAUCCACCAUCUUGAGAUGAUGGAUGCAGAGACAACGUACCAAAAAUAUUUUAGUCCAGUGUAGACAAUGUAUAGCCUUAUUUAGAAGACAUUGCUAUUAAUUACUCUUUUUUCAGGUAUUUAUCAUUACGGUUUUAACAACUAGACACCCAUCAUCUCCCAUUUCUAUAGGUUUAUUAAUAUUUCUCAGCAGUUCAUAUGCUUAGAAAAUACAUUAUUAUUAUUACAAUCAAGGGGAAGCGCUAAACCCGGAGGAUUAUACAGCGCCUGGGGGGGGAUGUGGAAGGCAUUCAGGCUUAAUUUGGGGAACUGGAGCACAGAUCCAAUUCCCUAAAUCAAGAGCCCCUCACCAACAUCAAGGAACCUUCCUUGAGGGGUUAGAAAAUACAAAUGAUUCCGAUGAUGCUAAUACUGUACAGUAUUAAUGAAAGCAGUGUAUCCCAUAUGUGGCUUCAGCGUUAUAAAUAGAAUCUUGUAAUUACUAUCCUAUAGCUGUAUAAAUAUAUAAUUGUUCUGGCGAUAAA